ACUCCUGCGGGAGGCAGCAGUGGGGAAUUUUGGACAAUGGGCGAAAGCCUGAUCCAGCAAUGCCGCGUGUGUGAAGAAGGCCUUCGGGUUGUAAAGCACUUUUGUCCGGAAAGAAAUCCUUGGCUCUAAUACAGUCGGGGGAUGACGGUACCGGAAGAAUAAGCACCGGCUAACUACGUGCCAGCAGCCGCGGUAAUACGUAGGGUGCGAGCGUUAAUCGGAAUUACUGGGCGUAAAGCGUGCGCAGGCGGUUUGCUAAGACCGAUGUGAAAUCCCCGGGCUCAACCUGGGAACUGCAUUGGUGACUGGCAGGCUAGAGUAUGGCAGAGGGGGGUAGAAUUCCACGUGUAGCAGUGAAAUGCGUAGAGAUGUGGAGGAAUACCGAUGGCGAAGGCAGCCCCCUGGGCCAAUACUGACGCUCAUGCACGAAAGCGUGGGGAGCAAACAGGAUUAGAUACCCUGGUAGUCCC
rnacentral:rRNA from 1 species